rnacentral:rRNA from 1 species
CCGACGGUGAGGGAUGAAAGCUGGGGGCACGAACCGGAUUAGAUACCCGGGUAGUCCCAGCCGUAAACGAUGCUCGCUAGGUGUCAGGCAUGGCGCGACCGUGUCUGGUGCCGCAGGGAAGCCGUGAAGCGAGCCACCUGGGAAGUACGGCCGCAAGGCUGAAACUUAAAGGAAUUGGCGGGGAGCACAACAACGGGUGGAGCCUGCGGUUUAAUUGGACUCAACGCCGGACAACUCACCGGGGGCGACAGCAAUAUGUAGGCCAAGCUGAAGACUUUGCCUGAAUCGCUGAGAGGAGGUGCAUGGCCGUCGCCAGUUCGUACUGU